CCUACGGGUGGCUGCAGUGAGGAAUAUUGCACAAUGGGCGAAAGCCUGAUGCAGCAACGCCGCGUGAGCGAUGAAGGCCCUCGGGUCGUAAAGCUUUGUUCUCAAGGAAGAUAAUGACGGUACUUGAGGAGGUAGCCCCGGCUAACUAUGUGCAAGCAGCCGCGGUAAUACGUAGGGGGCUAGCGUUAUCCGGAAUUACCGGGCGUAAAGGGUGCGUAGGGGGUUUCUUAAGUCAGAGGUGAAAGGCUACGGCUCAACCGUAGUAAGCAUUUGAAAAUGGGGAACUUGAGUGCAGUAGAGGAGGGUGGAAUUCGUGGUGUAGCGGUGAAAUGCGUAGAUAUUAGGAAGAACCCCAGUUGCGAAGGCAGCUCUCUGGACUGUAACUGACACUGAGGCACGAAAGCGUGGGGAGCAAACAGGAUUAGAUACCCCUGUAGUC
rnacentral:rRNA from 1 species